UUCUUCUCUUCUUCUUCUUCUUCUUCUUCUUCUUCUUCUUCUUCUUCUUCUUCUUCUUCUUCUUCUUCUUCUUCUUCUCCCUCUGUCUCUCUCUCUCUAUCUCUAUCUCUCUCUCUCUCUCUCUCUCUCUCUCUCCCCCUUCUAUGUAACCAAUUUCUUCCUUUAUUACCUUAGGCCAGACAUUCAAUGCACUGCUUAUUGGGGUGAGAUGAAGUCCUUGUCUUGUUUCAAGUCUUAUAUGAAGUUUCCCAUCACUGGUGUAAUUUUAACUGUAGAGUUUCUAUCAAUACUGUUUUUGGUUUGGUUUGGUUUGGUUUGGUUUACGUUUUUCUUUUGUUUUUGGUUUUGUUUUUCAAGACAGUGUUUCUCUGUGUAGCCCUGGCUGUCCUAGAACUCACUCUGUAGACCAGGCUGGCCUUGAACUCAGAAAUCCACCUGCCUCUGCCUCCCAAGUGCUGGAAUUACAGGCAUGUGCAACCACUGCCUGGCUCAAUACUGUUUUUAAAAUAGUAUAUUUUUAUCAAGCUGAGACAAUUCCUUCCCACUGAAGGUCUUUUAUUGUUUUAUCUUGAAUAAGUGUUAGGCUUCACCAUGUGCUGUUUUGUUUAUACAGAUGUGAUCAUAUGAUUUUUAUACAGAUGUGAUCAUAUGAUUGUUAUACAGAUGUGAUCAUAUGAUUUUUUUUUUAUUUUACUGAUACAUCAGAUUUUACAGAGAGCUAUGUGAAUGAUGGUUACUCUUAUACACCUAACAUUCCACUUGAUUAUGGAGUAUAAGUCUUUUGUGUAGUGUUGGAUUAAAUGUGUGAAUAUUUUAUUGAGUUUCCAUUUAUGUUAUUGAGAGACACCGGUGUAUAAUUUUUCUUCUUUAUGCUCUUAAAGAAUAAAUUAUAACGUCUUUUACUCGUUUCUAGCUUGGGGAGGCAUUUCAAGAGCUCUGGUCCAUUUCUUCCAUAAAUUUUGGGUAAAUACCAGUGGCAAAGGUGAUUUCUUUCAUGGAAGAUCAUUAGUUACCAUUCAUUUGCUUUGAUGGGUAUUGGGUAGUUUAUGUUAUCUGUUUCUCUUAGUGAGUGUGUUGUUUGUGUUGAUUUACUUCAGUGAAUUUUGUAUAUCACAUAUAUAUAUAUAUACACACAUACAUAUAUAUAUAUAUACAUACACAUAUAUAUACAUACAUAUAUAUCUGUAUAUAUAUAUUCAUUUUAAGCAUGUUUGUUCACUUUCCCCUUUAAUUACCCUUUUUGUGAAUGAGUUGUCAGAACCCUUCUUUGUUUCUCAUAUCCACAGUUUGCCCUCUCACCUUUUUGUUAUUUAGCCUACUUGAUAUAUUAACAAUUUUAUAGAUUCCCAAGUCACCUAGUUUUGCUUUGUUGGCUCUCUGCUGCCACAUUCUGGGGUCAGCUUCUAGGGUCCUGCUCCAGUUUUUACUGUUUUCUUCUACUUCUUCAUGUUCAAUUGCUCUUCUUUCUCCAGCUUCCUGAGACAAAAGCUUGGGUGACAGGUUUUAUAUUAUUCUUAUUUUCUAGUAUGUCCAGUAACUAUUUCUCUCAGCAUUGCUUUGGUUGUAUCCUGCAAAUUGUGUCAUGCUUUUAUUUUUAUUCAGUUAUUUCUGAAGUUAACACACACUGAGAAAUUCUAAAUAAGUUUUUAAUACCUUUGAAAAGGCAUUACGCUCAAGUACCUUUGAAAUAUUUUGGGGAGCAAGAAUUUCUGACAUUAAUCAGUGUAGUGUCAAGACAGAUAAAGAGAACCCUUCCUUCCUUGUCUUUGAUAAUCAAUUAAUAAUUCAGGACCAAAAAGAAAUAACUUCCUUAUUGAUACCCCAUCCAAAAAGCCAGCUGCACUGCUCCAUUGUCAGCUGACAAUUCUGUAUGAUUUAGACUAACAAGAAAUUGCUGAGCAGUGGUCAACGCCCAGAGGUGUUGAUGAGCCCUGAACUGAUGCUGCUGCCAUUCCAUCACCUAAAACUCCUCUCUGAGACCUGUUCUUUAUUGAAGUUGAGGUUGACAUUUGGCAAUAGACACAGAGAAGAGACUUUAUAGUGCUGAUAAAGCGAGUCAAGAACUGGUCUGUGCUUACUACUAUACUUCAGUUUGUCCAGUAGGCACAGGGCUCUGCCAUGUAGUCUAUUAGCAAUGUAGACUCCAGUUCUCUCUCUGGAGUUUCUGAAUCAUAUCACUCAUACUUUAAUGGGAUUCCUGCAAAGUUCAUGUGCAUCUUAAAGGUUACAGAGCCCUGUCCAAAAUGAGUUUAGAUUGUGUUUAUGCCAGAUUGGAAAGGAUGGUCUUUUGAUGAACUGCUCAGAGAAAAAUCUCUCAAAAAAGACUGUCCUUGAAUGAGACCACAGGAGAGGAACUUACUCACUUAACUCCACUCUACUAGUCCCCCCACAUCUGUUCUGAGACCCGUGCGUCACCCAUAAAAAGAAGCCAAAAAAUAUAUAAAAAGAGAAAAGCUGGGUGUAUAACU
rnacentral:lncRNA from 1 species